GGACAGAGACAACAAACUGGCAUACCUUCAUUCCUGCCGCGGCUGCGGGGCCACUGGGGUCCACGGCCUGGAUGUGGCACGGCUUGCUUCCUCGCACCACGAAGCCCCAGCC